GACGAACGCUGGCGGCGCGCCUAACACAUGCAAGUCGAGCGAGAACCGGGCCUUCGGGCCCGGGGACAGCGGCGAACGGGUGAGUAACACGUGGGCAACCUGCCCUCGGCACUGGGAUAGCCCGGGGAAACCAGGAUUAAUACCGGAUAGCCUCCGGAGCCUUCGGGCACCGGAAGAAAGGUGGCUUCGGCAUCCGCCCGCGGAGUGGCCCGCGGCGGAUUAGCUUGUGGGUGGGGUAAUGGCCCACCAAGGCGACGAUCCGUAGCUGGUCUGAGAGGACGAUCAGCCACACUGGGACUGAGACACGGCCCAGACUCCUACGGGAGGCAGCAGUGGGGAAUCUUGCGCAAUGGGCGAAAGCCUGACGCAGCGACGCCGCGUGCGGGAAGAAGGCCCUCGGGUUGUAAACCGCUUUCAGGAGGGACGAAGCCACUCGGGUGAACAGCCCAGAGGGUGACGGUACUUCCAGAAGAAGCCCCGGCUAACUACGUGCCAGCCGCCGCCGUAACAC
rnacentral:rRNA from 1 species